UAUCUAAGCCUAUGGUGUGCGAUACAGUCUGAUGAGGUGGAUAUCUAAGCCUAUGGUGUGUGAUACAGUCUGAUGAGGCGGAGUAUCUAAGCCUAUGGUGUGUGAUACAGUCUGAUGAGGCGGAUAUCUAAGCCUAUGGUGUGUGAUACAGUCUGAUGAGGCGGAUAUCUAAGCCUAUGGUGUGUGAUACAGUCUGAUGAGGCGGAGUAUCUAAGCCUAUGGUGUGCGAUACAGUCUGAUGAGGCGGAGUAUCUAAGCCUAUGGUGUGUGAUACAGUCUGAUGAGGCGGAUAUCUAAGCCUAUGGUGUGUGAUACAGUCUGAUGAGGCGGA